UGGGGAAUAUUGGACAAUGGGCGCAAGCCUGAUCCAGCCACGCCGCGUGAGUGAUGAAGGCCUUCGGGUUGUAAAGCUCUGUGGGGAGGGACGAAAACGGCCAGUAAGAAACGACUGGUCCUUGACGGUACCUCCUUAGCAAGCACCGGCUAACUCUGUGCCAGCAGCCGCGGUAAUACAGAGGGUGCGAACGUUGCUCGGAAUUACUGGGCGUAAAGCGCGUGUAGGCGGAUUGCUAAGUCGGGCGUGA
rnacentral:rRNA from 1 species